UUUCUGCUUUUUAUUUCCAAUCUAGAUUGCAAUAGGAGUUUUGAGUGCUUUGAGUGGUGUGUGGUCAUUUAUGCAAACAUGGGGAUGGAUGAGAAGAGCAGGAAAACAAACUAUUGAUGUAGUGGUCCUGGGAAAAUUGAUUGUGUUUGUUUCUGGAUGUUUAGCCAAUGUUUUCUUUAUGGUUAUUUUUAGUGCUUCACUCAACUGGCUGAUAUUCUACAAAAAUCAAGAUGUGGUACAUUUAAUGCU